GUUACGCUAAUACCGCAUAUUCUGUGAGCAGGAAAGCAGGGGAUCGCAAGACCUUGCGCUGAUUGAGCGGCCGAUAUCAGAUUAGCUAGUUGGUGAGGUAAAGGCUCACCAAGGCGACGAUCUGUAGCGGGUCUGAGAGGAUGAUCCGCCACACUGGAACUGAGACACGGUCCAGGCUCCUACGGGAGGCAGCAGUGGGGAAUUUUGGACAAUGGGGGCAACCCUGAUCCAGCCAUGCCGCGUGAGUGAAGAAGGCCUUCGGGUUGUAAAGCUCUUUCGGCCGGGAAGAAAUCGUAUGGGUUAAUACCCUGUGCGGAUGACGGUACCGGCAUAAGAAGCACCGGCUAACUACGUGCCAGCAGCCGCGGUAAUACGUAGGGUGCGAGCGUUAAUCGGAAUUACUGGGCGUAAAGCGUGCGCAGGCGGUUUUGUAAGACAGGCGUGAAAUCCCCGGGCUCAACCUGGGAACUGCGCUUGUGACUGCAAGGCUAGAGUAUGGCAGAGGGGGGUGGAAUUCCACGUGUAGCAGUGAAAUGCGUAGAGAUGUGGAGGAACACCAAUGGCGAAGGCAGCCCCCUGGGCCAAUACUGACGCUCAUGCACGAAAGCGUGGGUAGCAAACAGGAUUAGAUACCCUGGUAGUCCACGCCCUAAACGAUGUCAACUAGGUGUUGGGUGGGUAAAACCAUUUAGUACCGGAGCUAACGCGUGAAGUUGACCGCCUGGGGAGUACGGCCGCAAGGUUAAAACUCAAAGGAAUUGACGGGGACCCGCACAAGCGGUGGAUGAUGUGGAUUAAUUCGAUGCAACGCGAAAAACCUUACCUACCCUUGACAUGUUCAGGAGCCUGAAGAGAUUUGGGUGUGCCCGAAAGGGAACUGGAACACAGGUGCUGCAUGGCUGUCGUCAGCUCGUGUCGUGAGAUGUUGGGUUAAGUCCCGCAACGAGCGCAACCCUUGUCGUUAAUUGCCAUCAUUUAGUUGGGCACUUUAACGAGACUGCCGGUGACAAACCGGAGGAAGGUGGGGAUGACGUCAAGUCCUCAUGGCCCUUAUGGGUAGGGCUUCACACGUCAUACAAUGGUCGGUACAAAGGGUUGCCAACCCGCGAGGGGGAGCCAAUCCCAGAAAGCCGAUCGUAGUCCGGAUUGCAGGCUGCAACUCGCCUGCAUGAAGUCGGAAUCGCUAGUAAUCGUGGAUCAGCAUGUCACGGUGAAUACGUUCCCGGGUCUUGUACACACCGCCCGUCACACCAUGGGAGCGGGUUCCGCCAGAAGUAGGUAGCCUAACCGCAAGGGGGGCGCUUACCACGGCGGGGUUCGUGACUGGGGUGAAGUCGGAACAAGGUA
rnacentral:rRNA from 1 species